UAUCAGACAGAGCUUGAAGCUUCGUUGUGCUUGUUUACCAUAACAACUGAAGCUGCGGUUCGGACACCCCAAAAGUCAAGACAUGACAUAUCAGGCGAGGGACGGAGCAGAGGAGGGGGCAUAGGGGCCAGGAACCCCCGGCCUCACCACUUGGGGGGCCCCCUGCCAGUGGCUUUCGAUUGCCAAACAUCUGUUCCGGGCUACUAUAAUCCACUGUGUGGGUGGACAUCAUCUGGCUAGUCAGCUUGGCUUUCAGCAGGAAAAGGAUCAGUCUCCACAGCCCUAAUGCUACCAGCCUCAGAUGUGAAGCAAAGGUACAGCUAAACGUGCACUGUUUCACAGCUCACCCGUCAAGUCAACGUCACACAACACCUGGGAACCACCGGCCCCA